GACGUACGCUGGCGGCGUGCUUAACACAUGCAAGUCGAACGAUGAACCCGGAGCUUGCUCCGGUGGAUUAGUGGCGAACGGGUGAGUAACACGUGAGUAACCUGCCCUUGACUCUGGGAUAACUGCGGGAAACUGUAGCUAAUACCGGAUACGACCCUCGGCGGCAUCGCCAGGGGGUGGAAAGAAUUUCGGUCAAGGAUGGACUCGCGGCCUAUCAGCUAGUUGGUGAGGUAACGGCUCACCAAGGCGACGACGGGUAGCCGGCCUGAGAGGGUGACCGGCCACACUGGGACUGAGACACGGCCCAGACUCCUACGGGAGGCAGCAGUGGGGAAUAUUGCGCAAUGGGCGAAAGCCUGACGCAGCGACGCCGCGUGAGGGAUGAAGGUCUUCGGAUCGUAAACCUCUUUCAGUAGGGACGAAGCGAAAGUGACGGUACCUAAAGAAGAAGCACCGGCUAACUACGUGCCAGCAGCCGCCGUAA
rnacentral:rRNA from 1 species